ACGAACGCUGGCGGCGUGCCUAAUACAUGCAAGUAGCACGCUGAAGGAGGAGCUUGCUUCUCUGGAUGAGUUGCGAACGGGUGAGUAACGCGUAGGUAACCUGCCUGGUAGCGGGGGAUAACUAUUGGAAACGAUAGCUAAUACCGCAUAAUAGCAGUUGUUGCAUGAUAACUGUUUGAAAGGUGCAAUUGCACCACUACCAGAUGGACCUGCGUUGUAUUAGCUAGUUGGUGGGGUAACGGCUCACCAAGGCGACGAUACAUAGCCGACCUGAGAGGGUGAUCGGCCACACUGGGACUGAGACACGGCCCAGACUCCUACGGGAGGCAGCAGUAGGGAAUCUUCGGCAAUGGACGGAAGUCUGACCGAGCAACGCCGCGUGAGUGAAGAAGGUUUUCGGAUCGUAAAGCUCUGUUGUAAGAGAAGAACGAGUGUGAGAGUGGAAAGUUCACACUGUGACGGUAUCUUACCAGAAAGGGACGGCUAACUACGUG
rnacentral:rRNA from 1 species